rfam:Bacterium P201 scaffold_48, whole genome shotgun sequence.
ACAAUGAAGAGUUUGAUCCUGGCUCAGGAUGAACGCUAGCGGCAGGCCUAACACAUGCAAGUCG